rnacentral:rRNA from 1 species
UACGGGAAGGGCAAGCGUUAUCCGGCGUGAGCUGGGCGUAAAGAGUCCGUAGACGGUAAAGUAAGUUUUUUGUUAAAUUUUAAAACUCAAUUUUAAAGAAAGCAAUUAAAAUACUGCUUUACUUUGAGUUUAAUACAGAAAAGUGGAAUUUUAUAUGGUAGGGGUGAAAUCCGUAGAUAUAUAAAGGAACGUCGAUAGCGAAGGCAACUUUUUGGAUGAUAACUGGACGUUGAAGGGACGGAAAGUGUG